rnacentral:lncRNA from 1 species
ACAGCAUAGUAAUAAAAAAAAUUACAACUUUGUUUUUUUUCUAAAUUCUGUCCAAGAAGACUAGUUAUGGAAAGUAUUGAUUUUGGUCAAAAUUAUGAGAUCUUUUUGAUGAAUAAUUAAUGAUGAUUAUAUAAUGGCAGAUAAGCACAAAGUUUUCGGAUUUGAUGGCUUUUGGUGGGGCAGCACCUGAAAGAAUCAAUGGAAGGUUGGCUAUGAUUGGUUUUGUAUCUGCAAUGGGGGUGGAAUUAGCAAAAGGGCAGGGUUUGUUCGAUCAAAUAUCUGGUGGUGGAAUCCCAUGGUUCUUGUAUACAAGUGUGUUGUUGACAGUUGCUUCUUUGGUUCCAUUAUUUGAAGGUGUUAGUGUUGAGUCUAAGUCAAAAGGUAUCAUGUCCUCAAAUGCAGAGCUUUGGAAUGGAAGAAUUGCUAUGUUGGGUUUGAUUGCUCUGGCUGUUACAGAAUAUGUUAAGGGUACUGCCCUUGUGUAAGUAGAGUUUUAUAGGGACAUGAUUAAAGUCUAUAGGGUUUGUGGUUAGAAGCCAAAGAUAGAACCUUAUGUAUAUUCUUAUGUAAUUUCUUUGUUUUGUUUUUUAAUUAUGUUAUUUUCAAGAAAGUGUAAUAGUUCUCUUUAUACUUAAAAAAACGGUCUUCUAAUUUCUUUUGUUGAAAUUCUUCUCCAUUUGCACUAUGAUUUCUCUUAUUAUAUUGUCAAGUUUUUUCUAUGUAAUUAUUGCAUGUUCAAAUUCUUUUUUGUCAUCUUUUAUUUUAAUUAUGUAGUACUAGAUGACUGGCAUACUCUAGCACGGUUUUAUAAAAUGAUGAUGAAACAAAUCUUUUUUAGUUUAACACAAGCCCUCAUAAUCUUAAUUGAGUUUAAACAUGUUGCAAUGUUAAAACUUUGGUGAUAGUUUACCACCAUUUGAGUUAUACAAGACUAUGACAAUUGCGCGUGUAAAAUAUCUGAUUUACUAAUACCGUGUUAUCCAAUAGUGGUAUGUUAGUCAUUGAUAUGUGAUUGUAGUUCUAUCGUAACAAUGUUGUGUGAAUGGGGUAGCUUCUACCCCAAUAAAAAUAUAUAUAUAUAUAUAUAUUUGAAUAGGUUAGUAUAUUUAGUAAUAUUUUUAUAUAUAUUUGAAUAGGUUAGUAUAUUUAGUAAAUAACUACUAUAAUAAUAUAUAUUUAAGGCUUAAUAGGUCAAUUGAUCCUUUAAUUAAUUUCAAGUUUUCAUUUUGGUCCCAUAACUAAUAAAACUCAUGUUUCGGUCCCUCAGGUUUGCCUCCGUUUGUCAAAUAAAUCCCUCGCUGUUAAGUUUAACCAUAAAUGUCUAUGGUGGACCAACAUUAAAAGUGAUCCACCGUAGAUGUUAUUAAAUUUUUAAUUUAAACCGUUUGAUAUAUUUUCUAAAAAGAUGACCAUUGAAUUAUACGUGUCUAUUGUAACUUACGGUGCACCAACAACAACUAAUUCUUUCUUUCUUUCUUCAUCUUCUACCUUACUAAUCUUCAUCAUCUUCAACUAAUCAACUCACAUUUUCAAACAUUCAUCAAUGAACUUCAAACAAACCCAGAAAAAUAAAUUUAAAAAAAAAAAAAAAAAAAAACAUCCAAAAUUAAAACAGCAACAAGUGUAGAUUAAGAAGACCAAGAUUGUAACCCAAAAGAAAGAAAAAAAAACCAAGAUGAGAACCAUUUCUAAAGGCCACUCUUGACAUACCCAUCACUCUUAGGAAUCUUCCAGAACACAGCCAAAGCAAGAGAAAGAACAAGAGUAAGAUCAGCAACAUCAUCAGUCAACACAACUCCCUUUCUCUUUGCAUUUUUUGAGAUCAAUUUUAUAAAAUUCAACACUGUAAGUUGAAAUGAUUACAAACUGCAGGAAAGAGAAAUGAAGAUAGAGUAGUCCCGAGAGAGAUGGAGGGAAAGGGUUUGACAGAAGAUAGAGUAGUCGUGACACCAAAACGCGUCGUUACCAAACCUUUAUCUUCGUCGGAGAAACACUCGAAAUCCACCACCACCGUCGACGUCGUUACCAUGAAAGCAGCAGGCGGAGGAACACUCUCAAAAGAACACCAAAGCGCAAAGAAGCUAUUACUCCGCUGCCGCGACGGCCUCAAACGUCCUGAACAUUCCACCUCUACCUCCGCCGCCGUCGUCAGCAUUGAUUCGGAGCUUUCCUUCGCCGUGAAGAGGGAUAUCAACCAGAUCCAAUCCCUCUGAUUUGAGAUGGAUCGCCUUUGGCGUUCCGUCGCAUCCAAACCUCAAUGUGAUCUUUGGAAAAGGUGAACAUAUUGAAAUUGGUUGAUUCUGAUCUUGUUGAUUCCUGGAUAUUUUCUUCUUCUGGGUUUACGGUGUAUGAGAUGGGUUAAUGUUGGCUUAAUACUAGGAAGAAUCGAGUAUGUUGGCUUAAUGUUCAUGAUCUGGUUGUUAAAAAAAAAUUAUUUUAUUUUGGUAAAUGAUGUUAUUGUGGAAGGAAAAAAAAAAUCUAGAUUGUUUAUGAGUGAGUGAUGAAGAUGAUGUUGAAUGUAUGAAAAAGAGGAAGGAAGAAGAUGAAGAAAGGGAAAUAUAAUUCAAUGGUAGCCUUUUUUUAAUCCAAUGGUAGUUGUUAUUGGAUCAUUUGUAAGAUAAAGUAGUCCUUCAUAAUCCAAUGGUAGCCUUUUUUUUUUAAAGAUCAAACGGUUAAAAUUUUAUAAAUUAAUGAAGUCUAUGGUGAACCACUCUUAAAGUGGAUCUGCUGUAGAUAUCUGAGGUUAAACUUAUCAGCGUGGGAUUUAUUUGACAAACAGAGGCAAACUUGAUGGACCGAAACAUGAGUUUUAUUAGUUAUGGGACCAAAAUAAAAAUUUGAAAUUAAUUAAAGAACCAAAUGACCUAUUAAGCUUAUAUUUAACUAUCAUAAAUGAGUUUAUUUGUCGAAAUUUAGAAUAAAUAAAAAUGUCAGUAAUAUAUUCACAUGUUUUGUAGAUGUAUUUUAUUUUGACACUUUUAAUAUCUUAAACAACUAAAAAAAAUUACUAACAGUAAAAAUUAUCAAAACAACACUCGAUGUAUAUUUUAUCUUAUUUCCCAUAAAGAUGGUUAGUGGCUUCGCCGCUGGUGUCAAGUAUAUGGGAAAAUUCUUGAUAAGCCUUAUGGUUGCAAUAUAGUAUGAAAAAACAAAAAAAACAAAAGAAUCAUUAUUAUCACUUGAAUGUGUGGCAUUGUAAAAGUGCAUUUCUAGGAAAGUUUUCUAGGAUUAAGAGUUAUGUUGUCACUUGAAUAUAGUGGUCAUUACAUGUUUUCUUAAUUUGGCUAUUUGUUCACAGUGAUCCAUCUCGAUGUCCCACAACCAUUGCUCUAGUAUACGGUGAUAGUUCUUCAUAAGACACUUCUCUGUAUAUUAGUAUUUAAGUUAAAUUAAGUCCUUCAUUAGGAGUAUUAAUUGAAGAAGAAGAACUGCAAGUCAACGAGUGCUCGCCACUCAUAUCUUUGUGUUUCAUUUCAAGUAUAUACUGCUCAGAGACAUUUUCACCAUGGAUCCAAGUAUUUAUAUAGACGUCAAUGAUAGAUCAUCGUCGUAGAUUCUAAAAUUAUAUUCAUGUUCAUAUAUUUUAUUUAGAAAAUGUUAACUUGUGCAAUUAAUUCUAACAUGAUCAACUCUUAAAAGUAAGACAUGCGAUCUUAACUGAAAAUACCCCAACUAUAUAUAUUAUUAAUAUGAAGCUUCACAUGAUCAACUCUUUCUGGUGAUCUUUUUUGUUUUUUUUUUUGGUUGUGUACGUUUCAUCAUCUUUUCAUAAUGUUAUUGUUGCUUUCUACCUUAAAAAGUGUGUACAUUAAAUUUGGCUCUUUAAAAAAUAGGAGUAGCAUUUUUUUUAUAGGAUAAAAAUAAGGAACCUUAACCAUAAGUAAAAAAAUUAUUUUUUUGUUACAAGGUUAAUCAAAACAAACAAAACGGAAAAAGAAAAAUAAAAAGAACAAAAAACUAUUUUUUAAAAAAGAAAGUGUUGGCCGUGUCAAUCUUAAGGAGGAGGCUUAUAAGAUCUCUUGGCGGAGUUUUACGUCUGAUGAAGCACCAAAUUUAGCCAUAAAAUUUGCACAUUUGUUUUCCUCUCGAAGAGUGAGGUAAAUUGUGACAUUGCUUUGUUGAAUAAGAUCCAUUCGAUAGAGUUUUUUAUUUAACAAUUGAAUUAGUAAAAUGUAUUUUUUUAUAAUGAGUUAUUAAAUACAAUAAGAAAAUUAAAACACAAUAAAAAUGGAUUAAUUUAUACGGUUUCAAUAAAGAAAAUGACUCUACAAUACACGGGUUAUUUUUGCCCCCUUCCACAAAUUUUUAUGGUUCCGUCCUGAUUCCAAGUGAACAAGCUAGGACAACCUCAAAUUCUCAGUGUAGCACUUUUAUGGUUCCGUUCUAUAGCCACGUCUCUUGCUUUUACCAUCUAUGGAUGAAUGAACCCACGUGAACAAAUCACCUUUAAGAAUUAGGACCCAUAUUAUACACAUUACGUACGUGGAACUUAAAUAUCCACCAUAUCACUUGCCUUUCGUAACCUUUACAACCUUGUUACACACUACGUGGAAGUUUGGAACCCAAGUAUCACUCAAUGCUUUCCAUUUUAAUUCUCUAUAAACAACCUUCUUCAAUGCUAUACAUACCAACCUUAACCAUCUAAGGUGUAGUAAAAGAGUUCAUUAAUAUCCUAUCUUCAAAUAUACUUGGUCUCUUUAGAUCUUGACUUUUGCAUUGUAACAUUAAGAACUUGUUAUCAAUGGCUGUUUCAUCUUAUCAAUCUAUCAUGUCUAGCUCCAUUACAAGCAGCAUUUCUAGCAGGCCUAGAGUUAACCAAUUUAACAACAUCCCUUCUGUGUAUAUGCCUAGCUUUAAAAGGAAUGCUAGCUUGAAAGUUCGAUCUAUGGCUGAGGUAAUUAAGGUUUAUAUAUCAAACAAAUAUUAAGGUCAUGUAUAUAGUGUUUGUUCAUGCAUAUUUAAUUUAUAUACAUGGAAAAACCACCAUAUCAAAUGUGUUUAUGAUUUAUAUUUAAGAAAUAUUCACAUGAAUUAUUGUUGUUUUUGUAAAUUCCAGAGAAUCCAUAACGUCCCCCAGUUGUAGAAUAGUCAUUUGUGUCAUUUUAAUUGAUAAUAAUGUCUCUUUACAUUAUUCAGGAAGGGCAGAAAGAGCAACCAAAGGUGACUCCACAGCCUGCCUCUACUACUCGUUCACCAAAGGUGAGCAUACAGCAUAGUAAUAAAAAAAUUACAACUUUAUUUUUUACAACAAAAUUGUGUCCAAGAAGAGUAGGAAUGUAAAGUACUGAUUUUGGUCAAAAUUAAUGAGACCUUCUAAAUGAUUAAUGAUGAUUAUAUAAUGGCAGAUAAGCACAAAGUUUUCGGAUUUGAUGGCUUUUGGUGGGGCAGCACCUGAAAGAAUCAAUGGAAGGUUGGCUAUGAUUGGUUUUGUAUCUGCAAUGGGGGUGGAAUUAGCAAAAGGGCAGGGUUUGUUCGAUCAAAUAUCUGGUGGUGGAAUCCCAUGGUUCUUGUAUACAAGUGUGUUGUUGACAGUUGCUUCU